ACAAAAAGGCACCGAUGAACAAACAAUAUCAGAGCCACCAGUAAAACGAAAUAAAAGUAACAGUAUGUAAGAUUAUUUGCAAGAAGGGUUUUCCAGGGCAAGAAACAAAAAGACAAGAAUGUCCAAGAGGGGUAGAGAUAAAAUAAAACCCACAGUCUGGGAAGAGGAUACACUAUAGUCAUGAAUUCACAAGUCUUAUCCUUUUGUGAACAAGACCAAGCACUGCUGUGGUGGGUAGUGAAGAUUGACAGUGUUGAUUUUAAACCAUACUAUUUUGGACUGAGGAAAGCAUAAGUGUACCCCCACCCUGGGGCUAUUUUGUAUUGUCCUGAUUUCUAGGAUGCUUAGAAAACUAAUGUUCAUCUGCUCCUGCUUGUGUAUUGUCCAUUGUAUGAGGAAAGUUAACAGUCCUUAUAGGGACUUUGUGUCCAGUGGAACCAGAGUGAUUGACUCAUCCUGGUCUUCCCAUGAGUGUCCCUACUUUACCACCAAAAGUCUGGAUCCAGGAAAUUCUUCAGUCUCAGGCAAAUCAACCUGGUUACCCAUCCUGAAUAAAUAGAACUCAAUAUGGCUCU